UUUACUUCCCAGGUGGGGCUUUUCUUCUGUUCCAGUGUUUCAUGAUUUGCCAUCACAUUCUAGGCUAUUAAUCGAUGAAAAUGCUGUUUUAAUCAGUUUCCUUGAAUUAUAAGUUUCACUUGUCAAUCUUAGACAGAUUGGUAGUUUAUUGCUUUCUUUGUAGUCGAGCAAAUCACUACAUACUUUGUUUUUGAGUAAUCAUUUUAUUAGUUGCUCCACUUGGUGGUGAUCUCUUGCUGCAAAUUUGCAUUUCUUUCUGUCCCUACUGUUCAAAGAAUCUAUAGUGCUCUUAACUUGUUCAAUGGCUGCUCCUAAGUAUUCAUCGAUUCUGAUUUUCUUUAACUGUUAAAUUUCUAUGACAAGUUUGUACGUUAGAAGCUUUUCCAUCCUUACGUAAAAGAGUAAUUGUACUGUACUGGUACACCAGCUCAAUAUUUACUUUUGGAUCGUUGUUGAAUGCGAUCCUAGCCAUUUGCUAGCUGAAAAUGGAAUGCAUUACUCGUUAAAUGAUUGAUAAAACUUCCUCUUUAAAUGACUAUAAAACAUCCUGUCAUAUAUUGGGAGUGUUAUUACUGCUAUUCAUUGCUUGCAUUUCUAUGCAUCAGUAGUCAAAGAUCAGACUAAUUCAGGGCAUUUUUAACUAUUAAUUAUUAAUUCUAUGUAUGGAGCUGAUGAGUGAUACCAUGAUUGAUGUACUUGUAGGUAACUCUGCCAACCAAGCAAUAGAAUUACUCAUACAGAAAGGAGUUCCAGAAUCCCGGAUUAUAUUCCUAAACCUAAUUUCUGCUCCUGAGGGUAUCCAUUGUGUUUGCAAAAGAUUCCCAUCCUUGAAAAUUGUCACUUCAGAGAUCGAUGUUGCGUUAAAUGAAGAAUUCCAAGUCAUACCAGGUAUGGGCGAGUUCGGCGAUCGAUACUUCGGCACUGAUGAAUAACCAGCAAUAAGGUAAGCAUAGAUAAUGACCAAUUAACUAAUGUGGAACUGUAUUGGAAAACCCUAUUGUCUAAGAAAAAUGAAGAGGGGAUAAGUUGUUCUCUGAUUUAUCUUAUGUAUGGGGUCAUCUUUUUCAAUAACUAUUAAUGACUCAUGAUGAAGAUACAAGCAUAAUGAGAUGGUUUUCAAAUUA